AGCUUUGCGCAAUGGCAGUAUUGUAGCCAAUGAGGUUUAUCCAAGGUGCAAUUAUUGCUAACUGAAAAUAAUAACAAACAAAUUGGUUCAUUAAUUGCAAUAAAUGUAUCAUACCGACAUACGAAUUUACAACAGGAAAUGGGGUUUGAAGUUCAUGGGAACUUUGUGCUAUCUUCUAUAUGU
ensembl:snRNA U4 U4 spliceosomal RNA